AUUGAACGCUGGCGGCAGGCCUAACACAUGCAAGUCGAGCGCGCGGCGGACGGGUGAGUAAUGUAUGUGGACUCUCCGCUAGAGGGGGGUAACUACUGUAAACGCUAGCUCAAACCGCAUACUAUCGCGUUGCCCCCAUGGGCUUAGCUAGUAGAUGAGGUAAUGGCUCACCUAGGCGACGAUCCCUAGAUGGUCUGAGAGGAUGAUCAGCCACACUGGGACUGAGACACGGCCCAGACUCCGACGGAGGCAGCAGUGGGGAAUAUUGAACAAUGGGCGCAAGCCUGAUGCAGCCAUGCCGCGUGUAUGAAGAAGGCCCUAGGGUUGUAAAGUACUUUCAGUCGGGAGGCGUUACCGACAGAAGAAGCACCGGCUAACUCCGUGCCAGCAGCCGCGGUAAUAC
rnacentral:rRNA from 1 species